rnacentral:lncRNA from 1 species
GAUAGAAAUAAAAGAACAAUGCAGGAAUUUAAAAGGGAGAGAAAGAGAGAAGUCGAAGAUAGGGAAGAGAAGGGUUCCUUUUUCAUUCAUAACCCCUCGGGCUGAGUUUAACAUAUAUAUAUAACAAGCCAAUAAAGGGAAACCCUAGCUACGACGCUUGGGCUUGAAGCCAAGACAAAGUAAAUAUUAACGAAAGGCCUGGGACUGAAGAAGAGGGGUAAGGCCCAACAGUAAGGUCCUAACAACUCCCCCCUUUCUUGAGAAGGAACCUGUCCUCAGGUUCGAAAGGCGGGAUAGCGGGCGAUGAUCUCGUCGGCGUCCUCCCCAUGUGGCAUCUUCUGCAGGAAGGCCGGACCACUGUAUGAGCCAUUUGGUGACUGCAACGUUCUUCUUCUUGAACAUCCCUCUGUCUAAAACCUUCUCAGGUUGCCAAUGCAAGUGACCUGUAGAGUCAAUAGGUGGCAGGAUUGGAGUAGGAGAAUGGCAGCGCCGAUCUUCUUCUUGAGCAGAGAGACAUGGAAGACUGGGUGUAUUUUUGAGUCAGGAGGAAAAUGCAAAUGGUAAGCCACUUGACCUAUACAAGCUUUCACCUGGAACGGGCCAUAAAACUUGGGUGCAAGUUUGUUGAAAUGCCAAGUGGCCACAGAUUGCUGGCGAUAUGGCUGGAGCUUGAGAUAGACCCAAUCACCCACAUUGAAUUGGCGUUCCGUUCGUCUUUUAUCGUAAACUUGUUUCAUUCGAUUCUAUGCCAGUUGCAAAUUAGCACGCAAGAGACGGAGUAGCUUGUCACGGUCCUGCAACGCCACAUCAACCGAGUGAACGACCAUAGUUCCAGGGAUGUAGGAGGUAAUGGUUGGGGGUGGUAGUCCAUAUAGCGCUUGAAAGGGGGACAUUUUUAUGGCAUAUUGAAAAGUGGUGUUGUACCACCACUCAGCCCAUGGAAGAAGAGUAACCCACUUGUGAGGAUGAUCUGCGGAAAAACAUCGAGGAAAUGCUCGAGUGUGCGGUUUAGGACUUCUGAUUGGCCAUCAAAUUGCGGGUGGUAUACGGAGCUACAACACAGUUUGGUGCCCUGUUUGCUGAAAAACUCUUGCCAAAAGUGACUUAGAAAAGUUGGGUCAUGAUCCGAUACAAUUGAUUUUGGCAUGCCAUGGAGACGAAAGAUUUCCUUGAUGAAUGUGUCAGCAACUGUUGCAACCGUGUAUGGGUGCUUCAGUGGGAUGAAAUGGCCAUAUUUGGUGAGGCGGUCUACAACGACCAAAAUGACUGUGUAGCCAUUGGAAGACGGUAAGCCUUCGACGAAGUCAAGAGCGAUAUCCUGCCAUAUGUCGGCGGGAAUGGGGAGCGGUUGCAGGAGACUUGGUGGGUGAAUAGUCUCAUGAUUCUGACGUUGGCAUUCCGAGCAUGUGGCUACAAAAGUUUUACAUCCUUACGAAUGCCUGGCCAAAGAAAGUUACGAGAGACUCGGUUGUAAGUACGGAGAAAGCCGGAGUGGCCACCUUGCAGCGAGAAGUGGAAUUCGUCAAGGAUCUUUGGCCUCCAUUGGGAUGUAAGGGGAACAAAAAUUCUCUGUUUGUAAUGAAGGACACCAUUGACAAGUGUGAAGCCCUGCACACUACUGUUUGGUGUUUGGAGUAGUGAAGGCCAAAGUGUUUGAACCUGAGGGUCUGUAGCAUAUGAUUGUUGCAGUUCUGGUAUACAAUCAAACACUGGAGAGGACAACCCCAUAAGAGGCAGCAGCUCAUGUUGGCGAGAUAGUGCAUCCGGAGCUCCGUUUUGGGAACCCAGUCUGUAGUCCACUGUGUAAUUAUAACCAAGCAGCUUAACAAGCCAUUUGUGUUGUUGUGGAGUUGUGAUACGUUGCUCAAGGAAGAAUUUGAUGGGUUUGUGAUCAGUGACAAUCCCAAAUUGUUGACCCAAGAGAUAAUGGCGCCAAUGUUGUACAGCAAAGACGAUGGCAAACAUUUCCUUGUCAUACGUAGAGAGAUCGAGAUUCCGACCAGACAAUGCCUUACUGAGGUAAGCUAUGGGAUGAUCUUCUUAGCAUAAGACCGCACCUAUACCCAUACUAGAUGCAUCGGUUUCCACUAUUAACUGUUUGGUGAAAUCGGGGAGAGCAAGCACGGGUGUGGUUACGAGUGCUUGCUUGAGCUUGUUGAAUGCAGCAAUGGAGUCUGGUGUCCAAGAGAAAUUGACUUGUUUUAACAUCUCAGUCAAGGGCUUUGCAAUCAAGCCAUAAUGACGUACGAACUUCCGAUAUUAACCCGUGAGACCCAAGAAUCCACGAAGGCCUUUGAGAGACUGCGGUUGAGACCAUUUUGUGAUGGCAUGAACCUUAGAAUUGUCCACGGCUACACCUUGGCCUGAGAUAAAGUGACCCAAAUAGUCAAUCUUAGCUUGCCCGAAGGAACAUUUGCUAAGUUUUAACCUCAAGCUGUGAGUAGACAAAACUUGAAAAACAUUCUCCAAAUGGGAGAGGUGAGUAGCCAAUGAGGGACUAUAGAUAAGGAUAUCAUAAAAAAAAACCAAGACAAACUUACGUAAGUAUGGCCGAAAAAUGGAAUUCAUCAAAGCUUGAAAAGUUGAUGGAGCAUUGGAUAAGCCGAAUGGCAUCACCAAGAAUUCGAAAUGGCCGUCGUGUGUUCGAAAUGCGGUUUUUGGGAUAUCCUCAGCACACAUUCGGAUCUGGUGGUAACCUGACCGAAGGUCAAGCUUAGAAAAUAUAGCUGCCCCAUGUAAUUCGUCGAGUAACUCAUCCACAAUUGGUAUUGGGAAACGGUCCUUGAUGGUUGCUGCAUUCAAAGCUCGAUAGUCAAUACAAAGUCGCCAUGAGUCAUCUUUCUUUUUGACAAGGAGAACGGGGGAGGAAAAUGGACUAUUGCUAUUUCGAAUUACUCCCGAUUGUAGGAGUUCCUGCACUUGUUUUUCAAUUUCAGCUUUGUGGGAGUGUGGGUAUCGAUAGGGACGGACCAAAGUAGGUGUAGUGUUGGGGAAGAUUGGAAUUUUAUGGUCUAUGUGGCGUUGGGGUGGGAGGCCCGAAGGUAUGGCAAAAAGAUGGUGGUAUUGUGUUAGGAGGGAAAGAAUGGCUGAUGGGGUAUUUGGUGGAGGAGAGAUAGAGGGUGCUGUAGGUGGGGUUGGUUGGGAAUUGGGAUGGUGGGGUGGGUAAGUGGGUUGCAAUGAGUGAUAGGUGCGAAAAGGUGGAGUGGCUUUGACUAAUCCUUGAAGAGUGUGGGUAUGGCCCUGGACAUUGAAUAUCAUAGUUUUAUGUUUGAAGUGCCACCCUAUAAAACCGAGAGACUCCAACCACUCAGACCCCAAGAUAAGUUCAUAGCCAGGUAUGUUCAAAAGGAGGAAUGAACCGUGAAGGGUGUAGCCUUGCAUUUUUACAACCACAUCAUGAACUCGGAGAAAGUAGCAACUCGAGUGUGAGAGGCAGUGGUGAAAUGGACUGGGGCAAUAUGUUCAAUUGGCAGGCCUAGGUGGUGUGCAAUAUUUGUAUGGAGCAAAUUGCAAGCAGCUCUGAAAUCGAUUAAGACCGUAACUGGAAGGGAGUUGAUGGAGCCGUGCAAUCGCAUUGGUUGACCCAUGCUAAGUCCAGGGAGCUGAAAGAGCUCGAGCAUGUGGCAUGGGGGAUCGGGAGGGAGCUCUUCCUCCGAUUGGCAGUCAUGAAUUCAGGAGAUUCAUCCUCAGUGGUAGGAGAAUCAAGCAUCACAAUCAUAGGAACUUUGCAUUUGUGUCCUGGGAUAUGGGGUUCUGUGCAAUGGAAGCAUUCGCGUUUGCGGAUUUUUUCUUGAACCUCGGUUGGGGUUAAUCGUUUAAAAGGAGGGGUUUGGGUUUGUGGGGGUUUUGGGGAGGAGAUGGCAGGGAUGGAGGUGGGGUUGGAUGGUUUGGGAAAGUUAUGGGAAAGGUAUGGCCGUGAGUAAUUUGGGCGAGAAGUUCUUUUGGAGUGAUUUUUGGUUUCAAAAAUUUUGGCCAAUUUUUGAGCUUGGUGUAAGGACAUCAUGUCGAAUAUCCUCUUUCAGUCCCCCUAAGAAAACAUGUUUGAGCUGAUUUUCUGUCCAAUCAAUUACCCUACAGGAGAGUUUAGUAAACUCUGCUAUAUAGUCAUCCACAGUGCCAAUUUGUUGUAUAUGGGUGAGCUGGGAUUCAAUAUUUGCUCGAUCACCCCCACCAAAAUGUUGAAGCAACAAGUUAACAAAUAAACCCCAAUUAUCUCUGCCGUGCCUUUGUUCAAAACCGCUCAUCCAAAUAGAGGCAUAUGCACCAAAAUUACAAGCUGCAACAAGGACCCAUUAUUGAGAGGGGACCUUGUAAUAGUCGAGAUAUUGUUCCGCCAUGGCCAACCACCCGUAAGGGUCUUCCCCAGUGAAACGCGGGAGUUCUAUUUUGAUGGGUUUGAAGUUGUGGGAAGGGUGUUGGGAAGUGUAUGGUGUUGGGUGGGUGUGGUGAGUAGAAGGAGGGGUGGGGGACGGGGAAAUAUGGAAGGAGUGAGAAGUAUAUGGUGUUGGGUGGGUGUGGGUGUAAGGGUGCGGUGAGUAAUGAGAUGAAGAGGCUGGGUUUGGUUACGAGUGGGUCGGCCUGGGUGUGAUAGUAAUAGGGGAUGGUGUGGGCCGGGUUGAGGGGGUGUAGGUAGGGAGUGGGUUGAGGUUAGGUGGGUUAGAGAGGCCCAGGCUCAUAGGAGAAGAACUUGGUGCGGGAAAUAGGGAGCGGAAUGAGGGUUGCAGAUUGGAGGUAGAGGCUCUCGGGUUAAGGGUAGGGUUUGGGUGGACGGAGGUUGCGGGGGUAGAAGUGGGUAGGACAGUAGUGGUCGAGGUUGGUGGGAGGGCUGAUUUGAGGUGGCGCAGCUCCUCUAACAGUACGGUUUGAAAAGAUGCAAACUGGGAAGUCAUGGUGGUUUGGAAAGCUGUGUUGGAAUCGCUGAGUUGGUCUAAGGAUUUCUGGAAUGAAGCUUGCUGAUUUUCCAGAAUGGCGAUUGUGUCACAUACAUCCUCGACUUGGUUACGGAGGUGCUCGUGACGAACAUCCACCGCAGCGACGACGAUGUUGGGGUCAGAGCUAGCGGAUUGUGUGUUUUUGCCCAUCUGUUGAAGGGCUCUGAUACCAAUUGGUACGCCCUAAUCGGCUCAGAAGCUGAUAUUGAUAGAAAUAAAAGAACAAUGCAGGAAUUUAAAAGGGAGAGAAAGAGAGAAGUCGAAGAUAGGGAAGAUAAGGGUUCCUUUUUCAUUCAUAACCCCUCGGGCUGAGUUUAACAUAUAUAUAUAACAAGCCAAUAAAGGGAAACCCUAGCUACGGGGCUUGGGCUUGAAGCUAAGACAAAGUAAAUAUUAACGAAAGGCCUAGGACUGAAGAAGAGGGGUAAGGCCCAACAGUAAGGUCCUAACAGUUGUAAGGUUUCUUGGAUCUUGAUCUUUGUUCUUGACUGUUAAUUUCUCAUGAAUUUGUUGUUUUCGGGUGGAAAUUUGGCAUAUGUUCUAUUUCUGUUGAUGUUUGGGUAGUUCUUGCAUCUUUUGGAAGAAUUUCUUCUUCAAAAUUGUUCUAUUUCUGUCGAUAGUUGAUGAUUU